AGAGUUUGAUCCUGGCUCAGGACGAACGCUGGCGGCGUGCUUAACACAUGCAAGUCGAACGAUGAAGCAGAGCUUGCUCUGUGGAUUAGUGGCGAACGGGUGAGUAACACGUGAGUAACCUGCCCUUGACUCUGGGAUAAGCGCUGGAAACGGCGUCUAAUACUGGAUAUGACCAACCCUGGCAUCGGGUGUUGGUGGAAAGAUUUUUUGGUUGGGGAUGGACUCGCGGCCUAUCAGCUUGUUGGUGAGGUAAUGGCUCACCAAGGCGACGACGGGUAGCCGGCCUGAGAGGGUGACCGGCCACACUGGGACUGAGACACGGCCCAGACUCCUACGGGAGGCAGCAGUGGGGAAUAUUGCACAAUGGGCGCAAGCCUGAUGCAGCAACGCCGCGUGAGGGACGACGGCCUUCGGGUUGUAAACCUCUUUUAGUAGGGAAGAAGCGAAAGUGACGGUACCUGCAGAAAAAGCACCGGCUAACUACGUGCCAGCAGCCGCGGUAAUACGUAGGGUGCAAGCGUUGUCCGGAAUUAUUGGGCGUAAAGAGCUCGUAGGCGGUUUGUCGCGUCUGCCGUGAAAUCCCGAGGCUCAACCUCGGGUCUGCAGUGGGUACGGGCAGACUAGAGUGCGGUAGGGGAGAUUGGAAUUCCUGGUGUAGCGGUGGAAUGCGCAGAUAUCAGGAGGAACACCGAUGGCGAAGGCAGAUCUCUGGGCCGUAACUGACGCUGAGGAGCGAAAGGGUGGGGAGCAAACAGGCUUAGAUACCCUGGUAGUCCACCCCGUAAACGUUGGGAACUAGAUGUGGGGGCCAUUCCACGGUCUCCGUGUCGCAGCUAACGCAUUAAGUUCCCCGCCUGGGGAGUACGGCCGCAAGGCUAAAACUCAAAGGAAUUGACGGGGGCCCGCACAAGCGGCGGAGCAUGCGGAUUAAUUCGAUGCAACGCGAAGAACCUUACCAAGGCUUGACAUAUACGAGAACGCGCUAGAGAUAGCGAACUCUUUGGACACUCGUAUACAGGUGGUGCAUGGUUGUCGUCAGCUCGUGUCGUGAGAUGUUGGGUUAAGUCCCGCAACGAGCGCAACCCUCGUUCUAUGUUGCCAGCACGUAAUGGUGGGAACUCAUGGGAUACUGCCGGGGUCAACUCGGAGGAAGGUAGGGAUGACGUCAAAUCAUCAUGCCCCUUAUGUCUUGGGCUUCACGCAUGCUACAAUGGCCGGUACAAAGGGCUGCGAUACCGUAAGGUGGAGCGAAUCCCAAAAAGCCGGUCCCAGUUCGGAUUGAGGUCUGCAACUCGACCUCAUGAAGUCGGAGUCGCUAGUAAUCGCAGAUCAGCAACGCUGCGGUGAAUACGUUCCCGGGCCUUGUACACACCGCCCGUCAAGUCAUGAAAGUCGGUAACACCCGAAGCCGGUGGCCUAACCCCUUGUGGGAGGGAGCUGUCUAAGGUGGGAUCGGUAAUUAGGACUAAGUCGUAACAAGGUA
rnacentral:rRNA from 1 species